GGAUUCAGUUCCCCAUUGUGUAAGUGUGGCCUGCUUUCUUUGUUCCUAGAUACAUACUGUGACGCGUUCCCCCUGGGGUGGCACCUGGAACUGGGGUACCGCUGAGCCUGUUAGGGGAAAGGGGAAUUAAAAGGGCUAAAGGACCCCUGCUAAUGACAGAAGUUUGGCAAUCCCUGAUUUACCUAUGGUCUCAGUGAAAAGAAGAGGGACAAAAUUAAAGGUGAACGAGAAGACAGUUUAUUGGGUACAGCUAAGUAAAGAACACUCGGUGGUUUGGAAUCAAGGGCCCACACCCUCUAGCCCUUACACAUGUUAUGGACUAACAGUCAAGAAAUCUAUAUGUUGCAGACGAGACAUCAGUCACAGAGGGAGGGUCAUGUACUACCGAUUGCCUCAGCUCUGGUGUGAUGGACAACCCAGACUUUCUACUGUGAUUGGUGAUGGUGAUGUUCACAGGAGGAACACGGAUCAAAUCGGCUGCUGAACCAGGAUCCCUCAAUCUCAGGUUGACGACAUCAAACUGGUUGUUAGCCUCCACUGGUUGAAUCUUGUGUACCACUUCUAGUGACUUCACCCAUAAGGUUUCAGGUCCUAACAGUGCCACUUGAUUGGCCAAGAGAUCAACCCGAUAGUUCAGAAGCAUGAUCUCUGCAGAGUUAUUUCUAUGGGGGUGCGCCUUGAACAGGAGGCAGUGGACAUUCGUGCUCCUCUCCCUGUGUGAGUAGUGCAAAUGGAACAGCAGAGAGGAUAGGCACCUUG